AGAGAAUAGUUUAUAUAAAAUUUUAAUUUUGGAGAUUAAUGAAAGAUUUAAUCUUUCUCUGAA
rnacentral:tRNA from 1 species